rnacentral:rRNA from 1 species
UACGUAGGGCGCAAGCGUUAUCCGGAAUUAUUGGGCGUAAAGAGCUCGUAGGCGGUUUGUCGCGUCUGCCGUGAAAGUCCGGGGCUCAACUCCGGAUCUGCGGUGGGUACGGGCAGACUAGAGUGAUGUAGGGGAGACUGGAAUUCCUGGUGUAGCAGUGAAAUGCGCAGAUAUCGGGAAGAACACCCGUGGCGAAGGCGGCACUCUGGGACGGUACUGACGCUGAGACGCGAAAGCGUGGGGAGCGAACGAGG